GAGCACUAAUGAGCGGAAACAUGACCUCGCCUCACCGGCUCUGAAGGAAGCAAAGGAAACAGGACGAUGGCGGGCUGGAGUCUUCAAACCAACCGAGAGAGAGACAAGUUGUCUCCAGGCUGUCCUGGGUCUGCCCGGGUGUCCUUCUGAUCAGUCCGUUGUUUAAUCAAGACAACAAAGUGAGCUGAGACGGUGAGGGGCCGGAAAGCAAAAUCCUCCAUCGAACAAGAAUCAGCACGGCUAACAUCCUGCACAGCUCACACACAGGUGUGACACAAACUGGGAGCAGGUUCAAAACAGGAAGCGACUAACACAACACACCUGGUGGAAGGAGGCUGAGGGGGGAGUGGCUGGUCCGUCUGGAGAACCGAACCAAACACCUGAAGAACCUCAAUGACAACUACAUGAGGAAGAUGAAGAUGGAGCCGUCAGCUGACCAGACCUGAGCCCCCGAUAACUCGCCGUAGAGCUGCUGAGCCAACAACCGCGUCUCCUCCUGCUGCUGUGUGAGAGAAAUAAAGAGCUGGAAAAUAGACGCGUCUGUGAUUCAUUCAGAGUCAGAGUUUGAACGUUCUGUUUUAUUUCCUGCAUCUCAAACACAUCAGUGCAUCAGAGCCAGCAGUGUCAGGCUGUGCUGAUUCUGCAGCAGGUGUAAAGAUCACUGAGACUCACUCUGAAGCCUCUGACCGCCAACAUGGCGCCAUCUGCUGGACAAACAGGAACAAACCUCGAGGAGGGGCUGAACGUUCAGUCCAGUAAAGGUGGGAACAUGAAGGAGUUUCCGACGCCGGCCACAUGCAGCGUGUGAACCAAUAAAUAAUCUAUAAGUGACCAUUAGUGACAAAACCAUCAGUCCCCUUCAACACCAGCAAACAGCAGAGCUGGGUCAGUGUUUGGAACGUAACUGAAAUAAAAACAACUAUUAAAUAUUUUAAAUUCACUCUUCAGUCAUUUCAAGUUUUCUCACAGCAGCUUCACAAAUACAAACUUUUUAAGUUUUCAGUUGUUUUUCUACAGAAGCAUAAAAAAGUUAAUUUUAUGAAUUAUUCUCUGCAGAAUUUAAGACUUUGGCC
ensembl:lncRNA